GGGCGUGUAACUCAGUGGUAGAGUGCUCGCUUUGCAUGCGCAAGUCUGCGAGAAGCCCAGGGUUCGACUCCCUGCUCGUCCA